GCGCUCUUAGUUCAUUCGGUUAGAACGCGGGUCUCCAAAACCGAUGUCGUAGGUUCAAUCCUACAGAGCGUG
rnacentral:tRNA from 1 species